rnacentral:tRNA from 1 species
AAGCUUAUCGUCUAAAGGAUAAGGACAGAGAUUUUCUAAGUCUCUAACGUAGGUUCGAAUCCUACUAAGCUUA